UUACGGGAGGCAGCAGUGGGGAAUAUUGCACAAUGGGCGAAAGCCUGAUGCAGCGACGCCGCGUGCGGGAUGAAGGCCUUCGGGUNGUAAACCGCUUUGAUGGGAGCAAGCGAGAGUGAGNACCUUCGAAAAGCCCCGC
rnacentral:rRNA from 1 species